rnacentral:rRNA from 1 species
UGAACGCUGGCGGCGUGCCUAAUACAUGCACGUCGCGCGAACAGACGCGGAGCUUGCUCCUCUGACGUUAGCGGCGGACGGGUGAGUAACACGUGGAUAACCUACCUAUAAGACUGGGAUAACUUCGGGAAACCGGAGCUAAUACCGGAUAAUAUAUUGAACCGCAUGGUUCAAUAGUGAAAGACGGUUUUGCUGUCACUUAUAGAUGGAUCCGCGCCGCAUUAGCUAGUUGGUAAGGUAACGGCUUACCAAGGCGACGAUGCGUAGCCGACCUGAGAGGGUGAUCGGCCACACUGGAACUGAGACACGGUCCAGACUCCUACGGGAGGCAGCAGUAGGGAAUCUUCCGCAAUGGGCGAAAGCCUGACGGAGCAACGCCGCGUGAGUGAUGAAGGUCUUCGGAUCGUAAAACUCUGUUAUUAGGGAAGAACAAAUGUGUAAGUAACUAUGCACGUCUUGACGGUACCUAAUCAGAAAGCCACGGCUAACUACGUG